UGAUCCUGGCUCAGGACGAACGCUGGCGGCGUGCUUAACACAUGCAAGUCGAACGGAAAGGCCCUUUCGGGGGUACUCGAGUGGCGAACGGGUGAGUAACACGUGGGUGAUCUGCCCUGCACUCUGGGAUAAGCCUGGGAAACUGGGUCUAAUACCGGAUAGGACCAUGGGAUGCAUGUUCUGUGGUGGAAAGCUUUUGCGGUGUGGGAUGGGCCCGCGGCCUAUCAGCUUGUUGGUGGGGUGAUGGCCUACCAAGGCGACGACGGGUAGCCGGCCUGAGAGGGUGUCCGGCCACACUGGGACUGAGAUACGGCCCAGACUCCUACGGGAGGCAGCAGUGGGGAAUAUUGCACAAUGGGCGCAAGCCUGAUGCAGCGACGCCGCGUGGGGGAUGACGGCCUUCGGGUUGUAAACCUCUUUCAGUAUCGGCGAAGCUUGCUGGUUUUCUCSCAGGUGACGGUAGGUACAGAAGAAGCACCGGCCAACUACSUGCCAGCAGC
rnacentral:rRNA from 1 species